rnacentral:lncRNA from 1 species
UAUUCCAUGGGGCAGCCGACCCCCGCCCCCUCUGGGCCCCCACCCAGCCUACUUUUUCCUUCUGCGAGCCUGACUCCGCCCCAACUCCGGCCUCGUUCUCGGCCGCCCCGCCUUAGCUUGCAGAAUGCCGGCCACCCACUUUACGUCACAGUGGGUGACGCCCUCUGCCCGCCCCUGGAGCUCCGCCCACCUGCUGGAGCGCGUGCGCCUGCUGCUAACCGCUGCCCAGGGUGGCCGGCUCCAGUCUCUGAACCAGCGUACUCUUUUGGUUAGAAUGAAGACCCCGGGAAUCCCAUCUAAAUUUAUGACCGUAAGAAACACACACACAGUGCCUUCUUUGAGGUGGGCAUGCCAUGCAGCUGCAUCCUGUGCCAGUGUCUACUGUGUCUCACAGUUGAUGCCAACAUUUUCCCAGGACAGUUUGAGAGGGUCCUUGUACGACUUCUGACCUCUAGAUGAUCUUCAGAAUCUUCCUCAGACAAUUCAGAUGGAUUCGAUUCAGUUUCCUGGUCUAGCACUGGUAGAUUAUGCAGGUUUCACAGGCAUAUAGCAAUGAAGUCAGUCCAGUGGCUCUGUAGACCUUCAGCUUGGUAAAGAAACCUCUUCUUUCUCACACUUUCCUUUGGAGCCUCCCAAACACUAAGCCGGCUCUGGCAAUGUGUGUAUCAACUUCUUCAUCUACGGGGACAUCCCUGGAAAGCAUACUGCCAAAUUAAGUAAACUUAUUCACAACAUUCAACAUUUUUCCAUUUGCUACAUGGAACCAAUGGUUCCACUUAUGGAUGGUGAAGUCUGGCUGGUGGAGAACUAAGGUUUUCAUCCUGUGAAUUGUCAGGCCCAAAUGAGUACAAGUGGCAGAGAAUUUCCACGUUCUGCUGUAUUGCAGUCUCAGAAGUCCUGGGUACAGAGGUCCGCUCUAGAGCCAAAUUGCCAGUCAUUCGGACUCUACCACCGAGAUAGCAACUCCGAUGGGCUGACCCUGUGGUUGGAAUUCCAAACCUAUGUUUGCCUAAAACACAGCUCCUGAGAAAUCACAGGAGGCAAGCGCGCGCUCACACAGAAGGCAGAAGAAAUAGCACAGACACCCUCAAGGUCUCUCUAAAGAACUUUAAUAUUGAUUGUGAGGCACAGGAGAAGACACAGGACCACUCGGCAUGGCGUGCCCAUAUCAAAGAGGGUGCCCCGUGAAUAAAACAGCUGUGUAGAAGCA